UGCCACUAGCCUUCGGAAGGUUCC
rnacentral:piRNA from 1 species